ACAGUUGCAUCUACUGCCUGCAGGUCAAGAUGUAGAACUCUCAGCUCCUUCUUCAGUACCAUGUCUGCUUGCACGCCAUCAUCCUUCUUGCCAUGAAGAUAAUGGACUAAAACUCUGAAACUAUCUAUAAUGAAAAGGAGGAAGCUGAGCAAGGAAAAAUACAAAAUGUACAAUUUGAGAAAAAAGGAAGUGGAACAGAGAUAAACAGAUUAAGAAAUGGAAUAAAUGGAGUGUUAACACCAGACCCCAAAUGUUAGAGAUGCCAGAGCCAUCAAUGGGAUACCUGCCAAGGAGAGCUGCUAAUGGAGUGGAACCAGCUCAAGAGGAAGAAAUGUGUUGUAGUCAACAAAUCAGAAAGGAGUUGGAGACCUGAAGAGGGCCUUGAUAUCAGACAUGGAGGUGAAGAGUUUGGAGUUUGCCCAGCUGGCUUUGGUCUUGCUUUGGUCCAGUGUUUCCUCACUAUUUUCCUUUCCUCCAUUUUGGAGUGGUAAUGUAUAUCCUGUGCCAUUGUAUGUUGGAAGUAUGUGAUCUAUUUUUUGAUUUUGAUUUUAUAUGGAAUUACAAUUAAGAAAUUGAAUGAA